UCCUACGGGACGCAGCAGUGAGGAAUAUUGGUCAAUGGUCGGGAGCCUGAACCAGCCAAGCCGCGUGAGGGAUGAAGGUACAGAGUAUCGUAAACCUCUUUUGUCAGGGAACAAAGGCGGGGACGUGUCCCCGGAUGAGUGUACCUGAGGAAAAAACAUCGGCUAACUCCGUGCCAGCAGCCGCGGUAAUACGGAGGAUGCGAGCGUUAUCCGGAUUUAUUGGGUUUAAAGGGUGCGCAGGCGGUCUGUUAAGUCAGCGGUCAAAGCCCGGGGCUCAACCCCGGCCCGCCGUUGAAACUGGCAGG
rnacentral:rRNA from 1 species